CCUACGGGAGGCAGCAGUGGGGAAUAUUGGGCAAUGGGCGCAAGCCUGACCCAGCAAUGCCGCGUGAAGGAAGAAGGCUUUCGGGUUGUAAACUUCUUUGACAGGGGAAGAGCAGAAGACGGUACCCUGAAAACAAGCCACGGCUAACUACGUGCCAGCAGCCGCGGUAAUACGUAGGUGGCAAGCGUUUUCCGGAUUUACUGGGUGUAAAGGGCGUGUAGCCGGGAAGGCAAGUCAGAUGUGAAAUCUGGAGGCUCAACCUCCAAAUUGCAUUUGAAACUGUUUUUCUUGAGUACUGGAGAGGCAGACGGAAUUCCGUGUGUAGCGGUGAAAUGCGUAGAUAUAAGGAGGAACACCAGUGGCGAAGGCGGUCUGCUGGACAGCAACUGACGGUGAGGCGCGAAAGCGUGGGGAGCAAACAGGAUUAGAUAUCCCGGUAGUC
rnacentral:rRNA from 1 species